UACAGCCAUAUCACAUUGAAAUGCCAGUUCUCAUAUGAUCGCCAAAGUUAAGCAAUGUUGAGCCUGGUCAGUACGUGUAUAGGUGACCACUUGGGAAUACCUGCUGCUGUAAG